rnacentral:rRNA from 1 species
AUUGAACGCUGGCGGCAUGCCUUACACAUGCAAGUCGAACGGUAACAGGUCUUCGGAUGCUGACGAGUGGCGAACGGGUGAGUAAUACAUCGGAACGUGCCUAGUAGUGGGGGAUAACUACUCGAAAGAGUGGCUAAUACCGCAUGAGAUCUACGGAUGAAAGCAGGGGAUCGCAAGACCUUGUGCUACUAGAGCGGCCGGUGGCAGGCUAGGUAGUUGGUGGCAUCAAAGCUUACCAAGCCGAGGAUCUGUAGCUGGUCUGAGCGGACGAUCAGCCAAGGCGGGAAUGAAACACGGCCAAGACUCCUACGGGAGGCAGCAGUGGGGAAUUUUGGACAAUGGGCGAAAGCCUGAUCCAGCAAUGCAGCGUUCAGGAUGAAGGCCUUCGGUUUGUAAACUGCUUUUGUACGGAACGAAAAGCCCCGGGUUAAUACCCUGGGGUCAUGACGGUACCGAAAGAAUAAGCACCGGCCAACUACGUGCCAGCCGCCGCCGUAA